UCUGCAUCUGCUUCCCCACUAAGGCCUUAGUGGUCGACGCCGGUGCUGUUGGUGACGAUGAGGCCAAGCGACGGGAGGCGGCGGAGGAUAAGCAACCAUGAAUCAACAGCGUGAUCGCAGGGCGGGUGACGAUACUGUGUGCGCCGCUGCCGGAGCUCCAGUUCCUCUACGGCCUCCCUCAACCGAUCCUCAGCUUCCCGAAGGCGGGUCUCCAAGGUGGCGCCGUCGGCGGCCUCGAGCGGAGACGGGACAGAUGAGAAGUUGGGGGGUUCAGAGAGAGAUCUCUGCAUCUGCAGUGCUAUCAAGUGAAGAAGAGAUGAAGACACGAUUGAAUUUAAUCAAAAAAGGAACGGAAGAGGAAGAGGUAUUGAAGGGUUUGGAGAGAGAGAAAGGAGAGUUGGGCGGUUUAGAGAGAGAAAGUGAAAUUUUGAAACCAUUGGGUUGAUUGAGAAGAUGGAAGAGUGGGUAAGGGGAAGGGAAAGAAAGUGAAAGUGAAAGUGAAAGUGAAAGAAGAAGAGGAAGAAUAAG
rnacentral:lncRNA from 1 species